GACGAACCGUGCGAACGUUAUUCGGAAUCACUGGGCUUAAAGCGCGUGUAGGUGGGCCGGCACGUCCGACGCUGAAAUCCCCCGGCUCAACCGGGGAAGUGGCUCGGAUACGACCGGCCUCGAGGGACGUAGGGGGACCUGGAACUUCCGGUGGAGCGGUGAAAUGCGUUGAGAUCGGAAGGAACGCCCGUGGCGAAAGCGAGGUCCUGGACGUUUUCUGACACUGAGACGCGAAAGCCAGGGAGCGAACGGG
rnacentral:rRNA from 1 species